UACGGGGGGAGCAAGCGUUGUUCGGAUUUACUGGGCGUAAAGGGCGCGUAGGCGGUCAGCACAAGUCAGUUGUGAAAUCUCCGGGCUUAACUCGGAAAGGUCAACUGAUACUGUGCGACUAGAGUGCAGAAGGGGCAACUGGAAUUCUCGGUGUAGCGGUGAAAUGCGUAGAUAUCGAGAGGAACACCUGCGGCGAAGGCGGGUAGCUGGGCCGACACUGACGCUGAGGCGCGAAAGCUAGGGGAGCAAACGGG
rnacentral:rRNA from 1 species